rnacentral:rRNA from 1 species
GACGAACGCUGGCGGCGUGCUUAACACAUGCAAGUCGAGCGGUAAGGCCCUUUCGGGGGUACACGAGCGGGCGAACGGGUGAGUAACACGUGGGUGACCUGCCCUCAGCUCUGGGAUAAGCCUGGGAAACCGGGUCUAAUACUGGAUAUGACUCCAUGACGCAUGUUGUGGGGUGGAAAGCCUUGUGCGGCUGAGGAUGGGCCCGCGGCCUAUCAGCUUGUUGGUGGGGUGAUGGCCUACCAAGGCGACGACGGGUAGCCGGCCUGAGAGGGCGACCGGCCACACUGGGACUGAGACACGGCCCAGACUCCUACGGGAGGCAGCAGUGGGGAAUCUUGCGCAAUGGGCGAAAGCCUGACGCAGCGACGCCGCGUGAGGGAUGACGGCC